AAGCAGGAGAAAGGUCGGUAUCAGUGUCUGUCCGGAUAACGAAAGAUGCACCAACUAGGCAACUAGAGCUGGUCGCGGCGUGGAUGGAGUACAACAACUAUUGUUCUUAUCGGCCAGCCCCAAAGCAUAUGGAAGAUGGCCCUAUAUAAUAAACAAACACAAAAGCAUUGGAAAUAAGUCGAGCCUCGGUGUCGAAAAAGCUUAACUCCUGUACUCCUUCACUCCAUGAAGAAAUAUAAAAGCAUUUAGAUCACUACUCUUAUAUUUCUUCUUCACAGAGAGAGUAUCAGCGAAGAAGAUGAAGAAGCAAAUAUCCAAAUGCCACUGAUCGAAAGCACGACAGGGCAGAGACCCGGAGGGACGCCCGAUCCAAAUUGCCCACGGAGAGAGAUAGAGAGGAGGAUCAAAUCCGGGCGCGGCGCCGGACCCGAUCUGGCCCGGGCAUCUCCAUCGGUGACGGGUGGCGGUGCAAGCGGCCAACGGCGUACUGCUCAGACGCGGAACGUGCAUGCAUGCGCUGCGGCAGUUGCAGGACGAGCCCUUGUGCCGUCGUCUACCCCCAUGGCACGCGUGUUCCCCCAUGGCUUGGCAUGGGCAAUGGCCAAUGGAAGAGGGGCCGAGAUGCAGCAUCCAUGUGAGUAAGCGGAAAGUUACCAUCACUGCCGUCGAUUUAUUUAUCCUCGCGCUCGCUGGCACUGGCAGGAGGAAGGCGGUGAAACUUGAUCGACCUUUGUAUCCCUGUGAACGUACGCACACGUCGCCCGCGUGUGUGGUGACGUCGUUGAUGCGAGCGCAAAUCCCCCACGAUUUCGAUCCGAUU